rnacentral:rRNA from 1 species
ACGGGAGGCAGCAGUGGGGAAUAUUGGGCAAUGGGCGCAAGCCUGACCCAGCGGCGCCGCGUGAGUGAUGAAGUAUUUCGGUAUGUAAAGCUCUUUAAGCAGAGAAGAUAAUGACGGUAUCUGCAGAAUAAGCACCGGCUAAAUACGUGCCAGCAGCCGCGGUAAUACGUAUGGUGCAAGCGUUAUCCGGAUUUACUGGGUGUAAAGGGAGCGUAGGUGGUUUGGCAAGCCAGAAGUGAAAACCCGGGGCUCAACCCCGUGGAUUGCUUUUGGAACUGUUGAACUAGAGUGCAGGAGAGGUAAGUGGAAUUCCCAGUGUAGCGGUGAAAUGCGUAGAUAUUGGGAGGAACACCAGUGGCGAAGGCGGCUUACUGGACUGUAACUGACACUGAGGCUCGAAAGCGCGGGGAGCAAACAGGAUUAGAUACCCUGGUA